rnacentral:rRNA from 1 species
GUCUUUUUGAUAAUAAUUUAAAGUCUGGCCUGCCCAAUGAUAAUUUAAAUGGCCGCGGUAUUUUGACCCUGCAAAGGUAGCAUAAUCAUUAGUUUUUUAAUUGAAAGCUUGUAUGAAAGGUUGAACGAGAAAAUUACUGUCUCAAUUUUAUUUAAUAAAAAUUUUAUUUUUAAGUUAAAAAGCUUAAAUAAGUUUAAAAGACGAGAAGACCCUAUAGAGUUUUAUAUUUUUUAUAAUAAAUUUUUAAAUUAUUAAUUAAAUUGUUAAAAAUAUUUUAUUGGGGUGAUAAAUAAAUUUAUAAAACUUUAUUUAUUUUAAAACAUUUUUUUAUAUAAUUAUGAUCCAUUUUUUUUUGAUUAUAAGAUUAAAUUACCUUAGGGAUAACAGCGUAAUUUUUUUUGAGAGUUCAUAUCGAAAAAAAAGAUUGCGACCUCGAUGUUGGAUUAAAGUUUAUAAUUGGUGUAGAAGCUAAUAAAUUAAGUCUGUUCGACUUUUAAAACUUUACAUGAUCUGAGUUUAAACCGGUGUAAGCCAGGUUGGUUUCUAUCUUUAAAUAAUUAAGAUAUUUUAGUACGAAAGGACCAAAUAUUUAUAAAAUUUAUUUAAUUAUGAAUAUUAUUGUUAUUUUGGCAGAUUAGUGCAUUAAAUUUAGAAUUUAAUUAUGUAAUUUAUUACAAAUAAUACUUGUUUUAUAUAGAUUUAAUUUUAAUAUUAAUUAGAAGUUUAUUAUUAAUUAUUUGUGUUUUAAUU